CCUCCCCCAGUGAUUGUAUAGUCGGACCUUGAUUCAUAGUUUGAUGGCCCAAAUCAUUCUCUAUACUUGGCUAUCUCCUUUCGCUGGUAAUAACAUCAGACUCGCUUGAAUGAUAGGCUCAUCCUAUCCCUCCAUCAUUUAGAGCAGAGGCCUUCUCUGACUCUUUGGAGUGAUACAAAGGUGGCUCUAUGGCUCGAUGGUCCACC
rnacentral:lncRNA from 1 species